CAGCCGCCGCGGUAAUACGGAGGGUGCAAGCGUUAUCCGGAUUUAUUGGGUUUAAAGGGUCCGUAGGCGGACUUAUAAGUCAGUGGUGAAAGCCUGUCGCUUAACGAUAGAACUGCCAUUGAUACUGUAAGUCUUGAGUAUAUUUGAGGUAGCUGGAAUAAGUAGUGUAGCGGUGAAAUGCAUAGAUAUUACUUAGAACACCAAUUGCGAAGGCAGGUUACCAAGAUAUAACUGACGCUGAGGGACGAAAGCGUGGGUAGCGAACAGGAUUAGAUACCCGAGUAGUCCCUGUCUCUUAUAA
rnacentral:rRNA from 1 species